rnacentral:sRNA from 1 species
UAUUCAAUCCACAAAGAAAUUAUUUUGUUGAAAUUUGAAAAAUGAGUAGGAAGCAUGACUUUAAUAAAGUUGGGUGGUAGUUCAUUUGUUAUAAAAAUGACGAAAAAGAAUACCAAAUUGGUAGCGAAAAUAAACAACAUAACAAAACUAAAUCAUAAAACUAGUAAUUUAAUAUUCUGGUAAACUGAUUGUAGAUCCGCGAAGAUAGUGAAAACAUUGUCCAAAUGAAAUAGAUGGAAAAGGAGUUUAUUGAUUUUGAUCUUGUUGUUGGACACGUCGUUUUUGUAAAAUUCGUGCUUGUUCAGUCUCAAAAUAUACCAUAACAUUUGUUUUUUAAAGGAAUUCCAAUUACAAAA